AGUAGCGGCGAGCGAAGCGGGAAGAGCCCGGUGUGAAAAUCUCUUCGGAGAAUUGUAUUUGAGUGUUCUUUGGGUGGUCAGUGCGAGCAAGUUGCUUGGGAUAGCACGCCAUGGAGGGUGAGAGCCCCGUCCAUCUCGCACAGGACCCAUCCGCACGAGAACGCUUCAACCGAGUCGGGUAGCUUGGGAAUGCUGCUCUAAUUGGUGGUAAAUCUCAUCAAAGGCUAAAUAACGGUGGGAGACCGAUAGCGAACAAGUACCGUGAGGGAAAGGUGAGAAGAACUUUGAAAAGAGAGUGAAAAGAACUUGAAACCGUCACGGGGGAAGCGGAUUGCGUGAGUGGUGGUAUCGCUUGUUCAGCGCUUCGGCGUGCAUUCUGGCGGUACCUUGUCGUCGUGGCUGGCUGGUUUGUGAUUUUGACGUUCCGGCUGGUGAGGGCUCCCUAACGGUGAGGACGACGACAAAAUGACGCAAUACGACCCGUCUUGAAACACGGACCAAGGAGUCUAGCACGGCUGCGAGUCGAAGGGUGUAAAACCCAAGGGCGCAGUGAAAGCGAAUCUUAAAGCAAAUUGGGGAGGCGUUGCGUUUUCAACAAAAUGUCCUACCUUGAGCAUUUGUGCUGGGACCCGAAAGAUGGUGAACUAUGCCGGAGUAGGGCAAAGCCAGAGGAAACUCUGGUGGAGGCUCGUAGCGAUGCUGACGUGCAAAUCGCUCGUCGAACUUGGGUAUAGGGGCGAAAGACUAAUCGAACUAUCUAGUAGCUGGUUCCCUCCGAAGUUUCUCUCAGGAUAGCGGGCCGACAUAUGUUGUUUUGUGCGGUAAAGCGAAUGAUUAGUGCAUUUGGUGUCUAAUAGAUGUCGGGCGAUUCUCAAACUUUAAAUGCGCAAGGGGGUGGCUGCUUAAUUGAGCCUACUCUUUGAAAAACGUCGGCCCUGUGGGCCACUUUUGGUAAGCAGAACUGGCGAUAAGGGAUGAACCUUAAGCGCGGUUAAGGCGCCGCAUUGCCCGCUUAUAGACCCCACAAAAGGUGUUGAUUCAUUUAGACAGCAGGACGGUGGCCAUGGAAGUCGGAAUCCGCUAAGGAGUGUGUAACAACUCACCUGCCGAAUGAAUUAGCCCUGAAAAUGGAUGGCGCUGAAGCGGGCAGCCGACACCGCGCCGUUCCGGCGAGACGAUGCCGGGAUGAGUAGGAGGGCGUGGCGGUCAGUGACGCAGGCGAGGGUGCAGACCCCGCUGAAACGGCCGCUAGUGCAGAUCUUGGUGGUAGUAGCAAAUAUUCAAGCGAGAUCCUUGAAGGGCGAAGCGGGGAAGGGUUCCACGCAAACAUCGAUUGGGCGUGGGUGAGUCGUUCCUAAGCCGAGUGGCAAUUGCUAAGUAGCGGCGAAAGGGAAGCGGGUUAAAAUUCCCGCACACGGAUAUGGAGGCGGCGACGCAAGCAGAGGCAAAUACGCUGGCGAGGGCGCUGGGCAGAGUUGUCUUUUCUGUUUGACCGGCAUCGCGCUGUGUGGAAUCCGCUUAUCGGGAGAAACACGCGCGGGG
rnacentral:rRNA from 1 species